AGCUUGCUUCCUGGGUGACGAGCGGCGGACGGGUGAGUAAUGUCUGGGAAACUGCCUGAUGGAGGGGGAUAACUACUGGAAACGGUAGCUAAUACCGCAUAACGUCUACGGACCAAAGUGGGGGACCUUCGGGCCUCAUGCCAUCAGAUGUGCCCAGAUGGGAUUAGCUAGUAGGUGGGGUAAUGGCUCACCUAGGCGACGAUCCCUAGCUGGUCUGAGAGGAUGACCAGCCACACUGGAACUGAGACACGGUCCAGACUCCUACGGGAGGCAGCAGUGGGGAAUAUUGCACAAUGGGCGCAAGCCUGAUGCAGCCAUGCCGCGUGUGUGAAGAAGGCCUUCGGGUUGUAAAGCACUUUCAGCGAGGAGGAAGGGUUCAGUGUUAAUAGCACUGUUCAUUGACGUUACUCGCAGAAGAAGCACCGGCUAACUCCGUGCCAGCAGCCGCGGUAAUACGGAGGGUGCAAGCGUUAAUCGGAAUUACUGGGCGUAAAGCGCACGCAGGCGGUUUGUUAAGUCAGAUGUGAAAUCCCCGCGCUUAACGUGGGAACUGCAUUUGAAACUGGCAAG
rnacentral:rRNA from 1 species